rnacentral:sRNA from 1 species
GCAGCUGAGACGACCGGCCCCAGGGAGGGAUUGCUGCAACUGAACAAGCCAGCCGGCUGCCUCUGGGUGCCCUGAAACGGACUGAGCCGACAAUAGCAACCCGCCCCAUCCUCCUACCUCCAUUUGGAUUACUUAUAGUUCCUGUGCCUCGUUACUCUUUUCUUUAGGUCGUUCUUGAUUGAUCGCAUAGCAUUGAUUCAAAUAUCUUUUCAUGCUGGGUCUGACAGCUCACGUCAACGCCCUUGUGAUUCUUUCAAAGCUUUUCAAAAUUAUCUGCGAGGACGGAGAAGCGAAGCAUAUGUAUGUGCAAUACCACUUGUGCUAGGUUAAUAAAGGCGGUUGAGAAUGGAAAUACUUUAUCGAAGGAGAAAUCUAGAAUGGAAAAAACAGCAGUCCCCACAAUCCAGGCUCUGGCUUGAAUGAGAAACCCAUAGAGCGACUUUUCCCUUCAGAGACGAUUGUGGAUCAUCUCUUUCCUUUUUCCUUUUUUUUUUUUUUUUUUUUUUUCAGAGAAAGCGACUUUGAGAGCUUACGAGAUUCUCUUUGCAGUUGAGAGCACACCGCCCUCAGCCAUUCAUCAUCAUCCAGUACCUUCUUCCUUCAUCCCCAACUCACUCCCUGGACCUGGUCUCAGACAGCGGGGCCAACCAGGCGCUAAAAAAUCGAAGAAAGGGGCCCACUGGCAAAAACAUGGGGAAAUGCUCUUUUUUUUUUUUUUUGUAGCCCCGAGUUUCGUUGCAAAAGGAGAAUGUUGUAGAUAUCAUCUUUGUUGCCUGAUCAGUUAGCGUCCUAGUCAGUAUUCACAAUGGAAA